rnacentral:rRNA from 1 species
UACGGGGGGGGCAAGCGUUGUUCGGAAUUACUGGGCGUAAAGGGCGUGCAGGCGGCCUGUUAAGUUCGGGGUGAAAGCUCCCGGCUCAACUGGGAGAGGUCCUUGGAUACUGGCAGGCUUGAGGGAGGUAGAGGAGAGUGGAAUUCCCGGUGUAGUGGUGAAAUGCGUAGAUAUCGGGAGGAACACCAGUGGCGAAGGCGGCUCUCUGGGCCUUUCCUGACGCUGAGACGCGAAAGCGUGGGGAGCGAACCGG